rnacentral:lncRNA from 10 species
GUGACUAAAUGAAGGAAGGCUGAGGGGUUAAAAUCAUUGCUGGGUGAUUUCACCACUACUGCCCCAUAUUCAUACUCUCGGUAAAUGAAUGAGGAGAGCCCCAUGUGGGAUUACAAACUUGCUGGAAAUGGAUGAGAAACCUUCUGCUCUGCUGGAGUUUAUCUUGAGUGUGCCUUAAAAUUCCAUUUCAUGGAGAACUGUGCGUGGUUGAAUUUUGAUUGAUUACUCAAUUAACUGAUGUAUUGGUAGAGUGAUUAAGAAAGAAGACUUUGGGAUCAGACCAACCUGGUUUUGAAUUCAAGCUCAGCAACUUACUAGGUAAGGAGGAGAAAAGAAAGAAGGAAAAAUUGGAAAGAUAAAUGGGGUCUUUCCAGUGAAGCUGCAGUUAUGGCAUUAACCACCCAGUUGUUACCUACUUCUAGAUGAAAGUAAG